rnacentral:rRNA from 1 species
GCAACGAGCGCAACCCCUAUUGUUAGUUGCCAUCAUUAAGUUGGGCACUCUAGCGAGACUGCCGGUAAUAAAACCGGGAGGAAGGUGGGGAUGACGUCAAAUCAUCAUGCCCUUAUGACCUGGGCUACACACGUGCUACAAUGGUUGGUACAACGAGUCGCGAGUCGGUGACGGCAAGCAAAUCUCUUAAAGCCAAUCUCAGUUCGGAUUGUAGGCUGCAACUCGCCUACAUGAAGUCGGAAUCGCUAGUAAUCGCGGAUCAGCACGCCCGCGGUCGAAUACGUUCCCGGGCCUU